rnacentral:lncRNA from 1 species
ACGUAAAGAGAUGAGACAGGCCUAGCCUCCCAGCCUACAUUUUUCUCCCAUACAGGGUGCUUCCUGCCCUCUAACAUUGGACUCCAAGUUCUUCAGUUUUAGGACUCAGACUGGCUCUUCUUGCUCCUCAGCUUGCAGACAGCCUAUUUUGGGACCUUGUGAUGAUGUAAGUUAAUAUUUAAUAAACUCUCCUUUGUAUAUAUAAAGGAAACUCUUUCUAAUAUAUAUAUUAGAGGGCAUAUAUAUAUAUAUUUAUGCAAACACUAAUAUAGAACUAAUAGGAUAUGUAUAUUCUAUUAGUUCUGUCCCUCUAGAGAACCCUGACUAAUACAUAUUUUUAAACAGUAUGAGUUUCUGAUAGAAUAGGUAGACUGCUGUCUUUUGAUUGAGAGCAGUAGAUACAGUGGUAUUUGUUAGCUUGCUCAAGAUUGAUCCUCAACUGGUUAGAUUCCCAGGAAAAGUGUAGGCCUUUAGUAAUGCCCCACGGGAAAAUACUAAUGACCUUGGGUUUAACACAAUCAAUCUUGGCCAAACCUCAAGCACACCAGACCCCAUAAUGCCAGAGGAGAGGUUCAGGCUUCUCCCAUCAUAAAUAACCACAAAGCAAACACUUUCGCUGGCUGGCCAGAUCACGUACCUGUGCCAAAAAGGUUGGUUCCCAGUGUCUUAUGCCAAAGGAGGCGGGUUCUAUGCCUGACCUCUAAUCCUGGGCUGCUGGGAUAGUUAGGCAAAUAAGGUAUUAAUAUUUGCGUUGUAGUUUUUCAGUAGAUAAUUUUCUGUGUACAAUAUUUUUAGACAAUAUGUAACAACAAGCAUUCCCUUCCCACAAACAAGUCUUAUACUCUUAUAUUAUCCAUAUGCUAAUGUUCCUAUGAAGAAAUAUACAUAAAGGAAAUGCAAAGGGAAGUAAAAACAAGAACAUGUGGUAAAUUUUUAUAAAAUCCCUUAUUCUCAUCUUACUAACUGGUAAGUGAAGUGACUACAUAGGUAAUCUGUAUUCUUUUCCUUUUAGGAUAACUGAUCUAGGAUUACUCUUUAAUUGGUUGUACUCCUUUAACAUGUAUUUGUUUUACUUCCACAAAGACAAGAGUAUCCAUUUCCAUAGAGGAGUGUUUUCAACUCUACUUCCACAUUACAAUCAACCGGGAAGAUUUUGAAAUGCAUUGAUGUCUCUGCCUUACUCUCAGAGAUUCUGAAUUAAUUUGUCUGGGGCAGGGUGAGGGCAAAGGUACUUUUUAUAUUGGUCCUUAUGUGGUUCCACUGUGCAAAAAAAGGAUUGAGAAUUGCUUCACAGAGUUUGGGACUCCUGGGGUGAAAUGUGAGCACAUUUAAUUACCAUUUUUCAUUAUAGCAAAUAUUGAAAGCUUCUAUGUCCUUUCAUAUUAUGAGUAUUAUGUAUCCAGAAAAAGAUAUGUAAGAGCUUCAGUAGUAUAAAAUGCAAAAUAAUUUUGUGUCCUCAGGAUGAAAUAGCUUGGUGAGAUUGUAGCUUUCAAUGGAGCUACAUUUU